CAGUAGCCACGGUAAUACGUAGGUGUCAAGCGUUGUCCGGAAUUAUUGGGCGUAAAGGGCUCGCAGGCGGUUUCUUAAGUCUGAUGUGAAAGCCCCCGGCUCAACCGGGGAGGGUCAUUGGAAACUGGGAAACUUGAGUGCAGAAGAGGAGAGUGGAAUUCCACGUGUAGCGGUGAAAUGCGUAGAGAUGUGGAGGAACACCAGUGGCGAAGGCGACUCUCUGGUCUGUAACUGACGCUGAGGAGCGAAAGCGUGGGGAGCGAACAGAUUAGAUACCCCUGUAGUCCCUGUCUCUUAUACA
rnacentral:rRNA from 1 species